CAGUAGCCGCGGGAAUACAGAGGGUGCGAGCGUUAAUCGGAUUUACUGGGCGUAAAGCGUGCGUAGGCGGCUUCUUAAGUCGGAUGUGAAAUCCCUGAGCUUAACUUAGGAAUUGCAUUUGAUACUGGGAAGCUAGAGUAUGGGAGAGGAUGGUAGAAUUCCAGGUGUAGCGGUGAAAUGCGUAGAGAUCUGGAGGAAUACCGAUGGCGAAGGCAGCCAUCUGGCCUAAUACUGACGCUGAGGUACGAAAGCAUGGGGAGCAAACAGGAUUAGAUACCCCUGUAGUCCCUGUCUCUUAUAC
rnacentral:rRNA from 1 species